rnacentral:pre_miRNA from 9 species
UCUCGAUAGCGUAAAAGUUAACUUGAAUUUGUAUGGAGUUGGAACGUUUGCCUACGUUUGCCGCUAAAGGCGCGGUUCCAACUGCUUACAAAUUUAAGUUUAACUCUUUGGUGUUUAA